CUAUUUUAUAUCGUCGAAAAUGCUCCUAUUAAUUCCUAAAGGCUCUUUUAGGAGCUGGUUUUAUAAUACUAGGGGCAUGUUUGGUUCGACGGAAUGGCCAUUCCAUUCCGUCCCUAUUCUAUAUGCUACAGUGACACGUUUGUUUGGUUGAAAUUUGACCGUCGAAUCGCUAUUCCAUGCGAGAUCUAUUACACAUAAACAUUGCAUAUCCAUUUAGAAGGUUGGGCUUUGAAUGCCUAUUCAAUGCCUCUCGUAAUAGCUUUUUUUUGUUUCAGACGAAAAUCUCCUCCCACGUCCACUCAUCAUUCAGAAGAAAAUCUUCUUGGGUUUUCCAUAAAAUGCAUAAAAAGACUCUCUGUUUUUGGAUUUUGGGUGUGGCAGAUUUGCGUGUGGUGGAAAAUAUGGAGAAAUCGAUGUCGAAGGUGGAACUUUCCAAAGAAAUGUGCACAUCUCCCACCGUGUAGCCUAGAGAUUGUGAGAAAGGCGAGGCUCCGAUCAAUUAUCAGUGAUUGUUGUUAGUCUUCUUCUCUUCUCCAUCAUCUCUGUGUUUUUUUAAUAAACAAAAUCUCUAAAAUAUUGGAUCUGAAUUUCUAUCCUGCCAGGCUUUCAGUGAUUUUACCUUUUCUACCUCUGCCUUAAAAUUCAUUUCUACUUUCCUAAGCUACAAACAAGAAGUUGAACUUUGAUUAUCAAGAUCUUUCUUUUUCCAGUAGUUUAUGUUUUGGCUUUGUUGAAUUGAAUACCCAAAGUCAUGAUAUUUAGUCGAUAAUCUGUUGAAUACCCUUUGGAUUCUUCUCUUGAUUCGGGGAAUUUUUGUUGGUAAGGUUAAUUUUUUAUUUUGGUUUUUGUUUGUUUUUUUUGGGUUUGAAGUUCAAUAGCAUUUCAUGUUUGUAAUGAAAAAUGUGUAUAGAUAUCAUUGUAGGCUAUGUUUCGUUUUUGUUAGUGUUAAAGGUGUUUUUGGGGCUAACUAUUCACGAGUAUCACAGGAAUAGAGAUUAAAGGUGGUGUUGCUAAAAUCCAGAAGGACAGAAACACUGCUCUUGUGCCAAAGGUCUUCACCAUAGAGUAUUCUCUAAUAUGCAAAAUUUCAGAUUACAAGAAGCUUUAUAGAGCAUUCCCUAUAUUGGGUAUAAUUUUUAGUUAUAGUAUGUAUUUAGUAUUUAAAGAUAAAGAUAUACACAGAUUCUAUAUGUAAAAGUAGGUUUCUCAACUUACCAAUGAAAAAGAGGUAGUUUAUGGAGCAUUGGACAAAUGGGUAGCUUGGGAGACUGAGUUUCCAUUGAUUGCAGCUGCAAAAGCUUUACAAAUUUUCAAGAAGAGGAGCCAAUGGUUGCGUGUUAUUCAAGUGUAUUCAAUCUAUUGGUAUUCUUGCUUUGUAUUUUCCAGCUUCUAAAAUACAUUCAUUGAUGCAGUGAAGCUUUCUAUGUUCAAUAAUUUUCCAUUAAUAUAUAUUUUAUUAAAAUA